UACGGAGAAUCCGAGCGUUAUCCGGAUUUAUUGGGUUUAAAGGGUGCGUAGGUGGAUUGGUAAGUCAGUGGUGAAAGUUUGCAGCUUAACUGUAAAAUUGCCGUUGAAACUGCCGGUCUUGAGUGCAAAUGAGGUAGGCGGAAUGCGUCGUGUAGCGGUGAAAUGCAUAGAUAUUACACAGAACACCGAUUGCGAAGGCAGCUUACUAAUCCAUCAUUGACGCUGAGGCACGAAAGCGUGGGGAUCAAACAGGAUUAGAUA
rnacentral:rRNA from 1 species